rnacentral:rRNA from 1 species
AACAAACGCUGGCGGCGUGCCUAACACAUGCAAGUCGUACGAGAAAGGGUCCUUCGGGACUUGAGUAAAGUGGCGCACGGGUGAGUAACGCGUGGAUAAUCUGCCCUUCAGUUGGGAAUAACUCAUCGAAAGGUGGGCUAAUACCGAAUAAUACUGCAAGACUUUGGUUGAGCAGUCAAAGAGAGCCUCUGCUUGCAAGCCCUCGCUGGAGGAUGAGUCCGCGUACCAUUAGCUAGUUGGUAGGGUAAUGGCCUACCAAGGCUAUGAUGGGUAGCCGGCCUGAGAGGGUGAUCGGCCACACUGGAACUGAGACACGGUCCAGACACCUACGGGAGGCAG